GCACAAGUAGCGAAGGGGUUAAACGCGCGAGAUUUAAGCCUUCGGGUUCGUGAGUUCGAAUCUCACCUUGUGCA
rnacentral:tRNA from 1 species